GAAUGUAUGAGCUGGUCUCUCUUCGUAAGGAGGUUGUGGCGAUGGACGAAGUAACCUGUAAACAACGGACACGGGCUAUAGAUUUCAACCGCAAGUAACCGCUGGAACCGCUAACGACCAGUUAGUGAAUCCCGUUUCCGUGACAACGGAACCGACGUGGUCUCGACGUCAUUCUACGUAAAUUUCCGCUGGUCUCGCUGGCAUGACAAGUGUAGAGCCUUAUGCUGUGGCCACAAUCGAAGCACAUCAUAUGGACAAAGAGGGACAGAUCAUUGUACACAGAAAGUGGCAUUGGCAACAAGAGAAUGUACACUCCCUUUUGUUUAAACUACGGCUGAGGAAGCAUACAGAGACCCCACUUAAGUGUACAGUGAUGUUUCUAGAAGAUGUUUUGCGUCUCGGGGAAUCGUUUCCUGCUUUUUUUUCUUUUCUCUCUCCUUUUGAUUUUCUCUUUCCCAGAUUUCAAUCUUCUAGAAGAAGAAGAAGCUGACACAGGGUCGAGGCUACUUAUUAAUGUCGCUGCCCAGCGUGGAAAUGUUGGCAACUGAUCAACGACUCUUUGGAGAGGAGGAAAGAUGUCACUAUUCACGAGAUAUGUUGACUGGAAACACGCGACCGCGAGCUUUGAACCACACGAACUCCAGGCAGUGACGAGAACUUUAAGAGCCAUUUUGUGUAUUCAAAGGCUGCACGAAGGAAGGUUCCCUUCGUGUUUUGUACAAAGCUUAUGCAGA